rnacentral:rRNA from 1 species
AAUCCAUAGGUUAAUGAGGCGAACCGGGGGAACUGAAACAUCUAAGUACCCCGAGGAAAAGAAAUCAACCGAGAUUCCCCCAGUAGCGGCGAGCGAACGGGGAGGAGCCCAGAGCCUGAAUCAGCAUGUGUGUUAGUGGAAGCGUCUGGAAAGGCGCGCGAUACAGGGUGACAGCCCCGUACACAAAAGCGCAUGUGCUGUGAGCUCGAUGAGUAGGGCGGGACACGUGGUAUCCUGUCUGAAUAUGGGGGGACCAUCCUCCAAGGCUAAAUACUCCUGACUGACCGAUAGUGAACCAGUACCGUGAGGGAAAGGCGAAAAGAACCCCGGCGAGGGGAGUGAAAAAGAACCUGAAACCGUGUACGUACAAGCAGUGGGAGCACAGGUUUACCUGUGUGACUGCGUACCUUUUGUAUAAUGGGUCAGCGACUUAUAUUCUGUAGCAAGGUUAACCGUAUAGGGG